UAACACUACAGUGCACGCGCGUUCUACUAUAGUAGAACGCACUUACUUAUUUUACCGCCAUUCAUUCAUUCUUACACCUAACCCCCCCGGCUCCCAGAUAAGCUAAGUCGACAAAAUUGCCUAACGGAUUACUAUGGCACAUACUUGCAACGUACGCGUAUGUUCCUGUUAUGACGUGUCAAAGUUCGGCUUCUACUAUAGUAGUACAUGCGAGUAUUGGUGUAACAAAACUGAAGCGAAAAAAUGGACCCCGUAUUGGAAGCGCGCGAGACCCAAUGGCUGAACGAAGAAUUAGAGGACAUGGAAGUGAUCCAAAGUGACUCGGACGAUGGGGAAGUAUAUGUACAACCAAUGGAACAGGAAGAUAGUAAUCAGAUGCAGGAAGCUGUAAGUGAAAAUCAUGCAUCUGCAUGCAUGAAGAUGACACGCCUCUUUCUGAACUUGUCCAAAACAAUACACGUGAUGACUUUUAUGUGGAACACGCUGGAGUAAAACAUGUCCUUCAGCAACCCGGGCAAGAUCUCAAAACAUCCGAUUCAGACCUCCAGGGCCAAAAGGUGCCGCAAGAAACGCUGAAACACCGUUAUCUUGUUUUGAACUAUUUUUUGAUGAAAAUAUUUUCGAAAUCCUAGUUAAUUGCACGAAUAUUUACAUUGAUAAAAUACAGAACCGAUACCAGAGAGAAAGAGAUGCAAAGAGAACUGAUUUGGUUGAAAUGAAGGCAUUUAUUGCAUUUUUGCUCGGCAUUGAAGUCUCACGUUCGGGUCGGCGUAAUCUCAAUGAUGAGCUCGAAAUCGGUCCACAAAAAAAUGGUGUAAGCGAUGUGCCAGAUGGAUUUGUCCUGAUCACCAAGUUGUGGUCUGUAUUGAAUGUCGGGAUGAUGGCCAAUAAGUCGGUCAUCGCUUAUUAGAAGUUCUUUUUUUUGAGCUGAUCUCCAACUUGCCAAAAAUGUUGAUUAUUUUCUUGAUCUCAUAAUUUGAUCCUAAUUUGAAUUAUAUGCUAUUAUAAUUUUAUUUUUUUCUAUAAUUAUUUGUUACAAUAAUUAAAAGUUUAAUAUUA